rnacentral:rRNA from 1 species
UACGUAGGGUGCAAGCGUUGUCCGGAAUUAUUGGGCGUAAAGAGCUCGUAGGCGGUUUGUUGCGUCGGCUGUGAAAUCCCGAGGCUCAACCUCGGGUCUGCAGUCGAUACGAGCAAACUAGAGUGUUGCAGGGGAGACUGGAAUUCCUGGUGUAGCGGUGAAAUGCGCAGAUAUCAGGAGGAACACCGAUAGCGAAGGCAGCUCGCUGGGACGGUACUGACGCUGAGGAGCGAAAGCGUGGGGAGCGAACAGG